ensembl:misc_RNA Metazoa_SRP Metazoan signal recognition particle RNA
GCCAGGCAUGGUGGCGCGUGCCUGUAAUUCCAGCUACGCAGGAGGCUGAGGCAGGAGAAUUGCUUGAACCCAGGAGGCAGAGGUUGCAGUGAGCCAAAAUUGUGCCACUGCACUCCAGCCUGGGCAACAGAGUGAGACUCUGUCUCAA